GGUAGAGUGGUUUAGUUUGUAAGAGCAUGAGAUUCUUAAUCUCAGGGUGUGGGUUCGAGCCCCACAUCAUCAUCA